CUGGCAUAUCUGUAAUACCAACAUGGUGGAUCUGGAGCAGGAGGAAUUCUUAGAUCUUCAUCAGUCCCGUCACUGAGAUGACUUGGGAUUUCUGGAGGGCAUUUCUGGGUGCUUGAUUUGCUAUUACUAGGGACUUGAUGGCCCAAUUGUUGCCGUUGUUUCUGAAUAGCAAUCAGUGCCUGCAUUUGCUGCCGCCUCCUCAAUUUUUCAAUUUUCUCCUGAGGAGUCAUGAUUUGAGGUUUGAAUGAGUCCACAGAAUUUUUCACAGGAUUCAUUAUACCAGGAGACACUUCGUACCCAGAAAGCACAGGCUGCUGCCUAAGAUCACCUGACGAAGUCUGCGACAGCAUUGGCAUAGCAGGAUAUGUACCAGUAAGGUUCUCAUACACAGAAGACGCCACGUAUGGAUUUACAAUAUUCUGAAAUAAGGUUUCAGCUCCUUGGAUCUGCUUUUGUUGACCAAGAAUUGGAGAGGGAGAAGAUUGUAUGACAGAUGGUGAUAAUUCAUUCUCAAAUUGUCUUGCCAGUGCUACUGAAGGAGACCAAUUACCAUAAAAAUCUUGCAAGUUAUUCUCCUCUUGUUUUACCUGUGAUUUUUUCCGAGUUUUCAAAAGAUU
rnacentral:sRNA from 1 species